rnacentral:rRNA from 1 species
UGCCAGCCGCCGCGGUAAUACGGAGGGUGCGAGCGUUAAUCGGAAUUACUGGGCGUAAAGGGCGCGUAGGCGGUUUGAUUAGUCAGAUGUGAAAGCCCAGGGCUUAACCUUGGAAUUGCAUUUGAUACUGUCAGGCUGGAGUGUGGUAGAGGGAAGCGGAAUUCCGGGUGUAGCGGUGAAAUGCGUAGAUAUCCGGAGGAACACCAGUGGCGAAGGCGGCUUCCUGGACCAACACUGACGCUGAGGCGCGAAAGCGUGGGGAGCAAACAGGAUUAGAUA